rnacentral:tRNA from 1 species
GCCGAGGUGGUGGAAUUAGGUAGACACGCUAUCUUGAGGGGGUAGUACCAAAAAAUUUGGUGUUGCGGGUUCAACUCCCGCCCUCGGUA